rnacentral:rRNA from 1 species
GCCUAACACAUGCAAGUCGAGCGCGCCCUUUUGGGUGAGCGGCGGACGGGUUAGUAACACGUGGGAACGUGCCCUUUGGUACGGAAUAGCCUCUGGAAACGGAGAGUAAUACCGUAUGAGCCCUUCGGGGGAAAGAUUUAUCGCCAAAGGAUCGGCCCGCGUUAGAUUAGGUAGUUGGUGGGGUAAUGGCCUACCAAGCCUACGAUCUAUAGCUGGUUUUAGAGGAUGAUCAGCAACACUGGGACUGAGACACGGCCCAGACUCCUACGGGAGGCAGCAGUGGGGAAUCUUGGACAAUGGGGGCAACCCUGAUCCAGCCAUGCCGCGUGAGUGAUGAAGGCCUUAGGGUCGUAAAGCUCUUUCGCCUGUGAAGAUAAUGACGGUAGCAGGUAAAGAAACCCCGGCUAACUCCGUGCCAGCAGCCGCGGUAAUACGGAGGGG